AUUGAACGCUGGCGGCAGGCCUAACACAUGCAAGUCGGGCGAGCGGAGGACGGGUGAGUAAUGUAUGGGGAUCUGCCUGAUGGCGGGGGAUACAUACUGGAAACGGUCGCUAAUACCGCCUUCCUUCAGAUGAACCCAUAUGGGAUUAUCUAGUGGGUAAGGUAACGGCUUACCUAGGCGAAGAUCCCUAGCUGGUCUGAGAGGAUGAUCAGCCACACUGGGACUGAGACACGGACCAGACUCCUACGGGAGGCAGCAGUGGGGAAUAUUGAACAAUGGGCGAAAGCCUGAUGCAGCCAUGCCGCGUGUAUGAAGAAGGCCUUCGGGUUGUAAAGUACUUUCAGUCGGGAGGCGGUACCGACAGAAGAAGCACCGGCUAACUCCGUGCCAGCAGCCGCGGUAAUAC
rnacentral:rRNA from 1 species